rnacentral:rRNA from 1 species
UAGANGGUGAUCAUGGCUCAGAUUGAACGCUGGCGGCAGGCCUAACACAUGCAAGUCGAGCGGAAACGAGUUAUCAAAGCCUUCGGGUGGAGAUAACGGCGUCGAGCGGCGGACGGGUGAGUAAUGCCUGGGAAAUUGCCCUGAUGUGGGGGAUAACCAUUGGAAACGAUGGCUAAUACCGCAUAAUAGCUUCGGCUCAAAGAGGGGGACCUUCGGGCCUCUCGCGUCAGGAUAUGCCCAGGUGGGAUUAGCUAGUUGGUGAGGUAAUGGCUCACCAAGGCGACGAUCCCUAGCUGGUCUGAGAGGAUGAUCAGCCACACUGGAACUGAGACACGGUCCAGACUCCUACGGGAGGCAGCAGUGGGGAAUAUUGCACAAUGGGCGCAAGCCUGAUGCAGCCAUGCCGCGUGUAUGAAGAAGGCCUUCGGGUUGUAAAGUACUUUCAGCAGUGAGGAAGGUGNUGUCGUUAAUAGCGGCAUCAUUUGACGUUAGCUGCAGAAGAAGCACCGGCUAACUCCGUGCCAGCAGCCGCGGUAAUACGGAGGGUGCGAGCGUUAAUCGGAAUUACUGGGCGUAAAGCGCAUGCAGGUGGUUUGUUAAGUCAGAUGUGAAAGCCCGGGGCUCAACCUCGGAAUUGCAUUUGAAACUGGCAGACUAGAGUACUGUAGAGGGGGGUAGAAUUUCAGGUGUAGCGGUGAAAUGCGUAGAGAUCUGAAGGAAUACCGGUGGCGAAGGCGGCCCCCUGGACAGAUACUGACACUCAGAUGCGAAAGCGUGGGGAGCAAACAGGAUUAGAUACCCUGGUAGUCCACGCCGUAAACGAUGUCUACUUGGAGGUUGUGGCCUUGAGCCGUGGCUUUCGGAGCUAACGCGUUAAGUAGACCGCCUGGGGAGUACGGUCGCAAGAUUAAAACUCAAAUGAAUUGACGGGGGGCCCGCACAAGCGGUGGAGCAUGUGGUUUAAUUCGAUGCAACGCGAAGAACCUUACCUACUCUUGACAUCCUCAGAAGAGACUGGAGA